rnacentral:tRNA from 1 species
GCCCUAGUAGCUUAAGCUAAAGCAUUGGUCUUGUAAACCAAAAAUGAGAAAUCUUCUCCAAGGACA